UAAACCUCUUGAAGUUCAGACCGGGGGUGGUAGAUAAUCGUGCGUGAAGCAAGAAAGGAAAAAAAGAAAGGAAAAGGAGACGAGGCAAGGGAGACAAAAAAAAAAGAUAAUAGAAAGAAGAAGCAACCGUCUUUGGCUGUAGCAGGGAAAAAUAGAGAGAAAGAAGAGAACGAAAAGGGAGGAAAUGGCGAUCGAAGGAAAGGUCGGAAAGAAGACGAAGAAAAGGUUGAAAGAAGAUGAUGAAGACCAAAGAGAGGUAGAAAAGGAGAGAGAGUGAGAAAGAGGGCGAAGGGCACGUAGAGGAUUGCGGCGAAGCGGAGUACAGAAGGGAAAUACGAAAGGGGAAUCGAUGUGAGUGUGAAGCCGUGGUGGGGAGACUGGGCACCAAUCAAUAGCCGCGCGGCGGCGCCACACCUGUCAACGCGGGCUGAGAUAAACACAGGUAGGUGUACGCGACCGUAGCGCACUUUCCGAGUGAUUCAUCGAGCGAGUUAUGAAAGGAAUAUUAGAAUCUUGGCGCAAAAGGAAACAGAAGGCUCGUAACUUUCGGGCACGAGGAGAGGCGCUGAUGGGUGAAACGUGGGAAACGUUAAAAAGCGCUAGGGACGUUAGGAAUUAGCAGAAGCUGCACUUGCAUCGGCACAGUCACCAGUAGCAUCGCCGUUGGUGUCGAUCGUCGUCGUCAUACUUGUCGUCGUGGUACUAGCACUACCGUCACUAGUACCAACCUCGAAGUAGUUACCACUACUGGUACCGUCGUUUACCAGUGAUAUGGUACGAACAGCAACCAGCAACGGCGUUGCUGAUGGAGGCGGAAAUGGAACGAUCGCGGCCGAGACACUCGUACCACGAACGUUGAGUGCACAAUUGGGGGAGAGAGAGAGAGAGAGAGAGAGAGAGGGAGAAAAGGGGAGAAGGAUGAGUGUAGGGAAAGCCCGGCCCUCGAAAGGGUAAUCCACUGUCGAAAAUACAAUUCCGUGUGCCUGCUGCGUUAUUCCACGUCCACGGAAAUCGUGUUUCCAGGACUGGAACUAACGGACAUCGCGCAUCGAAAGGGAGAGAGAAAGAGAGAAUAACGAGCGAUUCUCUUACGCUAGAAACAACAGUAAUAUUAGCAUUUCGAAUCUAGUCUCUCUUAUUUUCUUUUUCUUUUUCUUUUUUCAUUUUUUCUACUUUUUCUUUUUCACUCUUCUAUUCUUUGUUUUCUCUCACCGAGCGUAAAGUACAUCCCAAAGAUUACUUACUUUUUAAUUUUCCAUAGCAUUUCGAAAUAAAUUUGAGUAUCAAAAGAAAAAUCUUGUAGGAAGAUUUUUUUCAAGAGACUCUUUUACCUUAUCCAGAUGCAAUAUAUACAAAAAUUCUAUAUGAAAUUAAUUUAC